CGGGACGUAGCACAGUCUGGUAGCGCGCACCCUUGGGGUGGGUGAGGUCGUGGGUUCGAAUCCCGCCGUUCCGA
rnacentral:tRNA from 1 species